AGAGUUUGAUCCUGGCUCAGGACGAACGCUGGCGGCGUGCCUAAUACAUGCAAGUCGAGCGAACCAAUAAGAAGCUUGCUUUUUGUUGGUUAGCGGCGGACGGGUGAGUAACACGUGGGUAACCUGCCUGUAAGACCGGGAUAACUCCGGGAAACCGGUGCUAAUACCGGAUAGAUUAUCUUUCCGCCUGGAGAGAUAAGGAAAGAUGGCUUUCGCCAUCACUUACAGAUGGGCCCGCGGCGCAUUAGCUAGUUGGUGAGGUAACGGCUCACCAAGGCGACGAUGCGUAGCCGACCUGAGAGGGUGAUCGGCCACACUGGGACUGAGACACGGCCCAGACUCCUACGGGAGGCAGCAGUAGGGAAUCUUCCGCAAUGGACGAAAGUCUGACGGAGCAACGCCGCGUGAGCGAAGAAGGUCUUCGGAUCGUAAAGCUCUGUUGUUAGGGAAGAACAAGUAUCGGAGGAAAUGCCGGUACCUUGACGGUACCUGACGAGAAA
rnacentral:rRNA from 1 species